ACAUACAGACUGACAUAUUGUACAGACAGACAUAGACAUUGUACAGACAUACAUACUGUACAUACAGACAGACAUACAGAUUGUGCAGACAGACAGACAUAUUGUAUAGACAGGCAUACAUACUCUACAUAUGGGCAGACAUACAGAUUGUGUAGACAGACAGGCAUACAUACUGUACAUACAGACAGACAUACAAAUUCUACAGACAGACAUACUAGACAUACAGACAGACAUAUUGUACAGACAGACAUACAGAUUGGACAGACAUGCAUACUGUACAUACAGACAGACAUACAGAUUGUACAGACAUACAUAUUGUAUAGACAUACAUACAUACUUUACAUAGAGACAUACAUACAUAUUGUACAGACAUACAUAUUGUACAUACAGACAUACAUACUGUACAUACAGAUUGUACAGACAGACAUACAUACAUACUGUACAUACAGGCAGACAUACAGAUUGUAUAGACAGACAGACAUAUAUACUGUGCAUACAGACAGACAUGCAUAUUGUACAGACAGACAUACACAUUGUACAGACAGACAUACACAUGGACAGACAUACAUACAUAUUGUACAGACAUACAGACAGACAGGCACAUUGUACAAUACAGACAUGCAUAUUGUACAGACAGACAUACACAUUGUACAGACAGACAUACACAUGGACAGACAUACAUACAUAUUGUACAGACACAGAGACAGACAUACAUACUGUACAUACAGACAGACAUGCAGAUUGUACAGACAUACAUACAUACUAGACAUACAGACAGACAUACAUACUGUACAUACAGACAGACAUACAUAUUGUAUAAACAUACAGACAUACAUACUGUGCAUGCAUACAAACAUACAUAUUGUACAGACAGACAGACAUCCAGAUUGGACAGACAUACAUACUGUACAUACAUACAGACAUACAGAUUUUGCAGACAGACAGACAUAUUUUACAGACAGACAGACAGAUUUUACAGACAUACAUACAGAUUGUACAGACAUACAUAUUGUAUAG
rnacentral:lncRNA from 1 species